rnacentral:rRNA from 1 species
UACGUAGGGGGCAAGCGUUAUCCGGAUUUACUGGGUGUAAAGGGAGUGUAGGCGGCGAUGCAAGUCAGAUGUGAAAACCCGGAGCUCAACUCCGGGACUGCAUUUGAAACUGUAUUGCUAGAGUAUCGGAGAGGCAAGCGGAAUUCCUAGUGUAGCGGUGAAAUGCGUAGAUAUUAGGAAGAACACCGGUGGCGAAGGCGGCUUGCUGGACGAAAACUGACGCUGAGGCUCGAAAGCGUGGGGAGCAAAC